UUAAAAAGCGUUUGUUACAAGUAAAGGUGAAAAUUAGUAUAGGUGGAAUGAUUUCUUUUCAAUUGGUCUCUCUUCUAUACUUAGUGACCUCACUACUCUAUUUACAAGGUGAAGUCGUGGAAGAUCAUAUAGCCGACUAUGAACUGUUUGAGGACAUUUUGGGAGGAGAUCACAUUAAGCGUCAUCCUCACUUUAUAAUUAAGUCGCUUUUCCCCAUGAGCAGGGAUAACGUUUUUACACUGGGAAAAAGCACUACACUUUUAAUCGGUGUGAAAAAUAUCGCCAAAAAAACUAUUUUUACCGUUGAAGCAAUCCAAGCUUCCCUUAGGCAUCCUUUAUAUUGGCCUUUGAGAUUGCAUAACUUUUCAAAAGAACUUCUUUAUCAGCAAGUUCGAAGCCGCCAAGAGUUGUCGCUAGAGUACUCCUUUAAACCAAGCAAAGUUAUUAAUCCCCCAAUAUUAUGGGAUGACUAUAUUAAUUCGUUACCAUGAUCAAGAAGGUGUGGGAUAUACUGAUGCCAUUUUUAAUGAUACUGUCAAUUUUUUAGAAGAUUCUGGUUUAGACCUCCAAACUACUUUUAUGCUGUC